UCCAGCAGCCAUAUCACCCUGCAACUCACAACUGGCAACCCACUGAAGCUAAGCAGGUGUGAGCCUGGUCAGUACCUGGAUGGGAGAACUCCUAGGAUAAACCAAGGUUGCUGCUGGAA
rnacentral:rRNA from 1 species